CAGAGGUUCGAAGGCGAUCAGAUACCGCCCUAGUUCUGACCGUAAACGAUGCCACCUGACGAUCCGCCAGGGUUACUACCAUGACUCGGCGGGCAGUCCCCGCGGAAACCCAAGCCUUCGGGUUCCGGGGGAAGUAUGGUUGCAAAGCUGAAACUUAAAGGAAUUGACGGAAGGGCACCACCAGGAGUGGAGCCUGCGGCUUAAUUUGACUCAACACGGGGAACCUCACCCGGCCCGGACACCGCGAGGAUUGACAGAUUGAGAGCUCUUUCUCGAUUCGGUGGGUGGUGGUGCAUGGCCGUUCUUAGUUGGUGGAGCGAUUUGUCUGGUUAAUUCCGAUAACGAACGAGACUCUAGCCGGUUAAGUAGCCCGAGCGGUUUUUGAUCUUUGCCGUUCAUCCCCGUUCGACCUUU
rnacentral:rRNA from 1 species